GGUUACAGGAUUUCUGCUGAUCUCAGGCGGCUCGCCUCCCAGCCUGGGUCCCAACAACAAUUCCUCUGUUUUUAAUUAAAAGACCUUUGCUGUACAUGCUGCGUGGAGGGACACAAGAGGUCUCUGAAAUUAAUUACCAGUUUGGUCAGGUUUGACUCAUGAGGAUAGAGAAGUUUAUGAGUAAGUGUGGCAAUGGCACAGCCCCCUUCCACCUCAACUUCGAAACCAGCAGUUAUUUCAAGAGGGAAAAACGGUGCGAUCUCUAUGUCGCCCACGUCGGAAUCCCAGGAAAGUUCUCCUUAGAAAUGAACAAGAACGUCAGGCCCCCAGCCCACAUUCUUAGAAGGAUCCUUAGGGGAGGGGCCUAGAAAUCCAGCCUUCAAUCCCCCAGUAGGUAAACGUGGAAACCACCAUCUCAGUUUUGCAAAUACUUUAUUUAUUUAUUUUUAUAAUCGACUCCCUCUUUCGUGGGUCUCCAUUCUAACUGCUUGCAGAAAACAUUCUCUUAUUCAUUUCCAGGUGAAUUCGGUCAUCCUACCUCAUUCCUCCCGCCCCCCCCCCACCGAUCUAAUUUUGGAGUUUUUUGGCACCACAGCCUAGGUCGGGUGUGUUGGGGAGGGGUUGUGCAGUGAGUCCUCACUCUGAGGUCAGUCCUCCUGGGUUCCCCAUCUCCAUGGCUCAUAUGUGCUCUCAUUUCUACUCUGCUGCUGCUGCUUCCCCCCUACCAUCCACAUUGCAAAAGCAAUAUAUUAGCUUUCUAAGCCACAAACAAUGGGCUCUCCCCAAAUUUAUGUGGGCUUCUGUCUUCCAUAUCCCCUGUACUUGGCCAGAGAAAAUGGGGAUCACCCCAUUUCCUUGAACUAGUAUUCAACAUUAUGCCAGGUCCUGCACUAGGCUGUCCCCAGCUAGUGCAGGGUGUUGGGGAGGGUAGAGGGUUCUGCCUGUUUGUACCUACCUACUCCUAACUCUCCCUGUCUUAUACCCACACUUUGAAGCUUUUGAACUUGAAAAUCUAGAAUUUGGCAUCUUUAUUCUCUGACUAGAAAGGAAAGUGGUCUCAGGGACAAAAAAAAAAAAAAAAGCCAGUUUUUUACAGCAAGAUCUGAGACCCCAUGGAAGAUGCUCCUUUCUUUCUUUCACAUAAGCUGAGACAGCCCAAAAUUAUGUCAGUGCAAAAGGACCACGGACAUGGCUGCUCCUGGGAGGCGGAAGGAGCAGACAGCAUUUUAGAUUUGGCUGAGCCCCGGCACCCAGCACAUACAUUAGCUGCUCACUCACCUCCCCCAGACAGCUGGGAAAUGACACCUCUGGUGACAGAGCCAGUCCCUGG
rnacentral:lncRNA from 1 species